rnacentral:rRNA from 1 species
CCUACGGGAGACAGCAGUGAGGAAUAUUGGUCAAUGGGCGGGAGCCUGAACCAGCCAAGUCGCGUGAGGGAAGACGGUCCUAUGGAUUGUAAACCUCUUUAGGCGGGGAGCAAUGCCGGGCACGCGUGCCCGGAGGGAUAGUACCCGCAGAAUAAGCAUCGGCUAACUCCGUGCCAGCAGCCGCGGUAAUACGGAGGAUGCGAGCGUUAUCCGGAUUUAGUGGGUUUAAAGGGUGCGUAGGCGGAUUUUUAAGUCAGCGGUAAAAUGUCCGGGCUCAACCCGGGCCGGCCGUUGAAACUGGGGAUCUUGAGUGGGCGAGAAGUAUGCGGAAUGCGGGGUGUAGCGGUGAAAUGCAUAGAUAUCACGCAGAACUCCGAUUGCGAAGGCAGCAUACCGGCGCCCGACUGACGCUGAGGCACGAAAGCGUGGGGAUCGAACAGGAUUAGAUACCCUAGUAGUC